rnacentral:rRNA from 1 species
GAUGAACGCUGGCGGCGUGCCUAAUACAUGCAAGUCGAGCGAACAGAUGAGGAGCUUGCUCCUCUGACGUUAGCGGCGGACGGGUGAGUAACACGUGGAUAACCUACCUAUAAGACUGGGAUAACUUCGGGAAACCGGAGCUAAUACCGGAUAAUAUAUUGAACCGCAUGGUUCAAUAGUGAAAGACGGUUUUGCUGUCACUUAUAGAUGGAUCCGCGCCGCAUUAGCUAGUUGGUAAGGUAACGGCUUACCAAGGCAACGAUGCGUAGCCGACCUGAGAGGGUGAUCGGCCACACUGGAACUGAGACACGGUCCAGACUCCUACGGGAGGCAGCAGUAGGGAAUCUUCCGCAAUGGGCGAAAGCUUGACGGAGCAACGCCGCGUGAGUGUUGAAGGUCUUCGGAUCGUAAAACUCUGUUAUUAGGGAAGAACAAAUGUGUAAGUAACUAUGCACGUCUUGACGGUACCUAAUCAGAAAGCCACGGCUAACUACGUG